UACAGAGGUCUCAAGCGUUGUUCGGAUUCAUUGGGCGUAAAGGGUGUGUAGGUGGCGCCGUAAGUCGGGUGUGAAAUUUCGGAGCUUAACUCCGAAACUGCAUUCGAUACUGCGGUGCUUGAGGACUGGAGAGGAGACUGGAAUUCAUGGUGUAGCGGUGAAAUGCGCAGAUAUCAGGAGGAACACCGGUGGCGAAGGCGGGUCUCUGGGCCGUAACUGACGCUGAGGGGCGAAAAGCGGUGGGGAGCGAACAGG
rnacentral:rRNA from 1 species